rnacentral:sRNA from 1 species
CUGAGAAGGAGUCUCGCCGUGUCGCCCAGGCUAGAGUGCAGUGGCGUGAACUCCGCUCACUGCUAGCUCCGCCUCCCGGGUUCAUGCCAUUCUCCUGUCUCAGCCUCCCAAGUAGCUGGGACUACAGGCACCCACCACCACACCUGGCUAAAUGUUUGUAUUUUUUAGUAGAGACGCGGUUUCACCGUGUUAGCCAGGAUGGUCUCGAUCUCCUGACCUUGUGAUCUGCCUGCCUCGGCCUCCCAAAGUGCUGGGAUUACAAGCGUGAGCCACCGUGCCUGGCCAGGCUGUCUUGAACUCCUGACCUCAAGUGAUCUGCCCGCCUCGGCCUCCCAAAGUGUUGGGAUUACAGAUGUGAGUCACUAUGCCCGGCCAGAACAUUUCUUACUAAUUUCAAGUCUUGACGCUGGUCUAUAUCACCUAGUUAAAUGAAUAACAACCUAAAAUUGGUGUGUAGGAUGGAAUUUGAGAGAGUAGACAGAGCAGUUUUAUAUAAUUGGAAGUUAUUCUAGCAACUGCCAGUCCAGUGUUCUGCUUCCACAUCUGCAGUGGUGGAAUUCCUAUAGAGCUCGCUUCAGUGGGGAGACAGGGCUGGAGAGAGGGUCAGUGCUAUCUAUGUAUGGAGUAAUCUGUAAGUCAGCUUUUGAAAUGGGGUGCCCUCUACUUUGAAUAUCUCGAUACUGUACUAAUAAAGUAACAGAACUUCCCUAUGCCGGAAAUAUAGAAAUUUUUCAUGCUCUUCUAAAAAUCUGGAAGUGGCAAUUUUCCAUUUAACUAAAGAUUUGAUGUCUUUUAGGACUUGGCAGAUGAACUUGCUCUUGUUGAUGUCAUCGAAGACAAAUUGAAGGGAGAGAUGAUGGAUCUCCAACAUGGCAGCCUUUUCCUUAGAACACCAAAGAUUGUCUCUGGCAAAGACUAUAAUGUAACUGCAAACUCCAAGCUGGUCAUUAUCACAGCUGGGGCACGUCAGCAAGAGGGAGAAAGCCGUCUUAAUUUGGUCCAGCGUAACGUGAACAUCUUUAAAUUCAUCAUUCCUAAUGUUGUAAAAUACAGCCCGAACUGCAAGUUGCUUAUUGUUUCAAAUCCAGUGGAUAUCUUGACCUACGUGGCUUGGAAGAUAAGUGGUUUUCCCAAAAACCGUGUUAUUGGAAGUGGUUGCAAUCUGGAUUCAGCCCGAUUCCGUUACCUGAUGGGGGAAAGGCUGGGAGUUCACCCAUUAAGCUGUCAUGGGUGGGUCCUUGGGGAACAUGGAGAUUCCAGUGUGCCUGUAUGGAGUGGAAUGAAUGUUGCUGGUGUCUCUCUGAAGACUCUGCACCCAGAUUUAGGGACUGAUAAAGAUAAGGAACAGUGGAAAGAGGUUCACAAGCAGGUGGUUGAGAGUGCUUAUGAGGUGAUCAAACUCAAAGGCUACACAUCCUGGGCUAUUGGACUCUCUGUAGCAGAUUUGGCAGAGAGUAUAAUGAAGAAUCUUAGGCGGGUGCACCCAGUUUCCACCAUGAUUAAGGU